GGGUGAGUAACACGUAGGUAACCUGCCCCGGAGCGGGGGAUAACAUUUGGAAACAGAUGCUAAUACCGCAUAACAACGAAGGCCACAUGGCUUUUGUUUGAAAGAUGGCUUUGGCUAUCACUCUGGGAUGGACCUGCGGUGCAUUAGCUAGUUGGUAAGGUAACGGCUUACCAAGGCGAUGAUGCAUAGCCGAGUUGAGAGACUGAUCGGCCACAAUGGAACUGAGACACGGUCCAUACUCCUACGGGAGGCAGCAGUAGGGAAUCUUCCACAAUGGGCGCAAGCCUGAUGGAGCAACACCGCGUGAGUGAAGAAGGGUUUCGGCUCGUAAAGCUCUGUUGUUGGAGAAGAACGUGCGUGAGAGUAACUGUUCACGCAGUGACGGUAUCCAACCAGAAAGUCACGGCUAACUACGUGCCAGCAGCCGCGGUAAUACGUAGGUGGCAAGCGUUAUCCGGAUUUAUUGGGCGUAAAGCGAGCGCAGGCGGUUGCUUAGGUCUGAUGUGAAAGCCUUCGGCUUAACCGAAGAAGUGCAUCGGAAACCGGGCGACUUGAGUGCAGAAGAGGACAGUGGAACUCCAUGUGUAGCGGUGGAAUGCGUAGAUAUAUGGAAGAACACCAGUGGCGAAGGCGGCUGUCUGGUCUGCAACUGACGCUGAGGCUCGAAAGCAUGGGUAGCGAACAGGAUUAGAUACCCUGGUAGUCCAUGCCGUAAACGAUGAGUGCUAGGUGUUGGAG
rnacentral:rRNA from 1 species